rnacentral:tRNA from 2 species
GCCGGAGUGGCGGAACAGGCAGACGCAAGGGACUUAAAAUCCCUCGGGCUUUUGGCUCGUACCGGUUCGACCCCGGUCUCCGGCACCA